AAAAAAACAAACCCUGGGUUUCCGUGUCUAACGUUUGACCGUUCGUCUUAUUUGAAAAAAAUUAAAAAGACAAGUCACGCAUAAAGUAUUAAUCAUGUUUUAUCAUCUAACAACAAUGAAAAUACUAAUUAUACAAAAAUUUCAUAUAAGAUGGACAGUCAAAUGUUGGACACGGAAACCUAGCUAGGGUUUGU
rfam:Oryza glumipatula chromosome 11, whole genome shotgun sequence.